rnacentral:tRNA from 1 species
GUAAUGGUGGUUCAGUGGUAGAAUUCUCACCUUCCAUGCAGGAGACCCGGGUUCAAUUCCCAGCCAAUGCA